AUCUCGACGAACGAGUGAUAACAAAUUCCCAAACGGGACCAUCACACCAAACAGACACAGCCUCUCUGAAUGGCUUUGACAAGUAGUUGACUGAGCAGGUUGCCCUUUAUCCCAACCUGUACGAUCAUGAGUUUUACAAGAACAAACGGAUUAACGCUUGUUAUCGUGGCGAGAAAUCGCAAACAAGCUUGUGGAACCGUUUUAUCCGAGCCAGGAAAAAGGUGGAAUGCGGUUCCUCGAACACAUCACUGUUGUUAGAGUCGCUAUCAUGGCUGGUGGGCUUUGUUAAAUACAAGACGACGGAGGCAGAAAUUCAGAGGAUGUCUUUAACCCGACCUGCAAAAAUCCAAAUAGACGUUAUGAGAUCAUGUGAAGAGGUGCAACGUUGCGCGUGUCUUUAUAAUGGGUCCUUAACACAUAAUAGAGACGUGGAAAAGGACAGCAAUUUGUGGAGGGAAAUUGCAAAGAAUUUGGGAGUGAGUGAAAGUGUUUGUUGGAUAAAGAGAAAAUCUUUAAGAGACAAAUUCGUGAAGACGAGGAAGAGGCUGCAGCUGAAGAGAAGAAACUGUGCAACCUUGUUUCUGCUUCCCAUAUAUAUUCCUUGAUGGGCUGGCUCUCCGACUUUGUGAGCCACUGGGAGUUAAAUUCCAAGUCUGCAGAAGAGGCAAUGUCAAUUAUCUUUGAAGGAAGAGGAAGGCAGCGUUACUGUCACCCUGCUCCAGAAAACUGUUCACCGCACUGCUCAACAGCAUCGCCUACAGAGGGGUUGCCAUCUCCACUCAAUCCCUCCUUCUCAGCAUCAACAACUGUCGUGAAAAAAAAUCCUCAUCCACAGCCACUGAGGAUUUUAUUCAAAACAAUCUCCAGGAGAUUAAGAAGAUUAUUAAGAAGGCCAAAGGUCCAAGGGGUGCAUUUGUUUGAACUGUAGUAUUAACGAGCUUCAACAUU